UUUUUAAUUCAGGCACUGUUUUGAACACCUAAAACUCUUCGAGCUCAUUAAUCUUCUGGUAAACAGAUAUCUCCUGGUUAUUAGAAGCGAGGCAGGCAGCCAGUGGAUGCGAACAUUAUACGCCAGAGUGCUUUUUUGCAUGAACCCACCUGUACUUGCGUCCAAGCCAACCUCCCUGGCCCGGGAUACCCUCGGGGCCUUGUGUCCACAUGGGAACCAGAUACCCACACAGCACAAAAGAGGCAGCGGCACCCAGCUCCACUGGGCCACCACCCCCCAGCACCAGUAAGUAUAUCCUGGCUGAGUCCGAAAAAGCUUCAGAUUCACAUUUAAACCCAAACCAUCCAAACAUAAACACCCCAACCAUCAAUUUCACACAGACGA